rnacentral:rRNA from 1 species
CACGUAGGAGGCGAGCGUUAUCCGGAUUUACUGGGCGUAAAGCGCGUGUAGGCGGUUUGGUAAGUUGGAUGUGAAAUCUCCUGGCUCAACUAGGAGAGGUCGUUCAAUACUACCAGACUAGAGGACGGUAGAGGAAGGUAGAAUUCCCGGUGUAGUGGUGAAAUGCGUAGAUAUCGGGAGGAAUACCAGUGGCGAAGGCGGCCUUCUGGGCCGUUCCUGACGCUGAGGCGCGAAAGCGUGGGGAGCAAACAGG